rnacentral:rRNA from 1 species
AGUGAACGCUGGCGGUAGGCCUAACACAUGCAAGUCGAACGGCAGCACAGUAAGAGCUUGCUCUUACGGGUGGCGAGUGGCGGACGGGUGAGGAAUACAUCGGAAUCUACUUUUUCGUGGGGGAUAACGUAGGGAAACUUACGUUAAUACCGCAUACGACCUACGGGUGAAAGCAGGGGAUCUUUGGACCUUGCGCGAUUGAAUGAGCCGAUGUCGGAUUAGCUAGUUGGCGGGGUAAAGGCCCACCAAGGCGACGAUCCGUAGCUGGUCUGAGAGGAUGAUCAGCCACACUGGAACUGAGACACGGUCCAGACUCCUACGGGAGGCAGCAGUGGGGAAUAUUGGACAAUGGGCGCAAGCCUGAUCCAGCCAUACCGCGUGGGUGAAGAAGGCCUUCGGGUUGUAAAGCCCUUUUGUUGGGAAAGAAAAGCAGCAGGUUAAUACCCCGCUGUUCUGACGGUACCCAAAGAAUAAGCACCGGCUAACUUCGUG